UACGGGGGGGGCAAGCGUUGUUCGGAAUUACCGGGCGUAAAGGGCUCGUAGGCGGCCAACUAAGUCAGACGUGAAAUCCCUCGGCUUAACCGGGGAACUGCGUCUGAUACUGGAUGGCUAGAGAUUGGGAGAGGGAUGCGGAAUUCCAGGUGUAGCGGUGAAAUGCGUAGAUAUCUGGAGGAACACCGGUGGCGAAGGCGGCAUCCUGGACCAACACUGACGCUGAGGAGCGAAAGCCAGGGGAGCAAACGGG
rnacentral:rRNA from 1 species